rnacentral:misc_RNA from 1 species
AAAAAAAAAAAGAAAGAAAGAAGGGGAAGAGAAAGAAUCACAAAGGCUACAUCUUUAUUUUCUCAUUACUUCUAUAAAAUAGAAGAUUUCAUAUUUAGAUUCGAAUCUCUUAUAAUUACUCUACUUAAUUAGAAAUAUAAAUCCUACACUAAAUAGGGAAUAUAAAUCCUAUACUGAGUAAUAAAAUCUACUAAUUUAGAAUAUAUACAUCCAUAUUGACUUUUUAUAACAUUAUGUAAUAGCUGUGCAUCUUAUAUUAAAAGAGCUUUGCUAAGUUACUUUGUAUAGAUUUAUUUUGAAAAUUUUGAGCUUAAUUCAGUCAUAUUGACAGAAGGACAUUAAGAUUAUAUAACCCUGUGCAUUUAUUUAUUUCUUUCUCUUCAUUUUUCGGUCUUUUUUUCCCCUGGAUGAAGCAAUUGACAUGAAAACUUUCUCGUGCAGUUUUGUUUACUCCUUGUGAUCUUUGGGAUCAUUCUGCUCAUUGUCAUUAUAGUUGUUGUGGCUUGAGCAGCAUAUUUUGUUGUCAUCAUCUGAGCUUGAUAUGAAGGCAGGGUCCCCUUUUGCUAUCUCCUUGGUGGUGUUAUUUUUCAUUAGCUCCUGCUGGACUGGACACAGAUCAGUCCACGAUUCUGGACUAGACACAGAUGGUCAUUAAUGUGCAGUUGUUAGUUUGCAGUAGGCUGAAUUCCUCUUAUGUUGACUCUUAUUACUAAUUAUUAUAUAAAUUUUAUCCUCUUUUAUAAUUAGUAAUAAAUGAAAUCAUCUGCAAUCUGUAUUUCAUUGAAUUAAUUUUUUCUGCGCAGUUGUAACACCCAAGUAUCUUUAACCCGUUUCUUCUCCCAUACAAUUCAAUGUAUCAUUUGUAUCUGUGGUAUUGAUAGUUUUAGAAAAUGUCAAAUUUCUUUUGCUUAUUCUCUUGUUUGCAUGGAUGGCAAUCACCAUAUUCUGGGCGACAGAAAUGUCGUUUUGGUGUACAUGUAUUGAUUACAUUAGCUGCUGUAGUCAAAUUUUCUGCUUCUCUUGAAAGAGUAUAAA